CUACGGGAUGCUGCAGUGAGGAAUAUUGCACAAUGGGGGGAACCCUGAUGCAGCAACGCCGCGCGGAGGAUGACGCAUUUCGGUGUGUAAACUCCUUUUAUAUGUCAAGAAAUUGACGGUAGCAUAUGAAUAAGCACCGGCUAACUCCGUGCCAGCAGCCGCGGUAAUACGGAGGGUGCAAGCGUUACUCGGAAUCACUGGGCGUAAAGGACGCGUAGGCGGGUUGGAAAGUCAGGUGUGAAAUCCUACAGCUUAACUGUAGAACUGCACUUGAAACUUCUAAUCUAGAGUAUGGGAGGGGGAGAUGGAAUUAGUGGUGUAGGGGUAAAAUCCGUAGAUAUCACUAGGAAUACCUAAAGCGAAGGCGAUCUCCUGGAACAUUACUGACGCUAAGGCGUGAAAGCGUGGGGAGCAAACAGGAUUAGAUACCCCAGUAGUC
rnacentral:rRNA from 1 species